AACGCACGAGACCUGCGGACCUGCGGAGGGAUCAUUACCGAGUUAUACAACUCAUCAACCCUGUGAACAUACCUAUAACGUUGCCUCGGCGGGAACAGACGGCCCCGUAACACGGGCCGCCCCCGCCAGAGGACCCCCUAACUCUGUUUCUAUAAUGUUUCUUCUGAGUAAACAAGCAAAUAAAUUAAAACUUUCAACAACGGAUCUCU
rnacentral:misc_RNA from 1 species